UGGUUUGAUCCAAGAACAGCAGGCACAAGAGUACAUAAGGAGCAUAACAUCAUUGAAGUGAAGCACAAUAGAUCGUAUCUUAUUUACGAUCCAUUUGUUCUAGCGCAAAAUGCUAAACAAGUGUUUUAUGCUCCUUACUUGUUGCGCAAUGACAAGUCUGAUUGGUGGGCUGUAAUCAAACGAAGACCUAUAGGGCGGGUAGAAGUUGAGAAUGUUCUGGAGACUGCGUAUCAAAAUGAAAUGCAGAUUGAUCACCAGCUAGUGGACGUUGAAUUAGUGGACGGUUUGAAUCAUCCGAAAAAUAUUUUUGAAGAAGUUAAUAUUGUGGAAGAAGAGGCUGAGUGGGUAAAAGAUGAGGAAACCUCCGAAGAGGGUGAAUGGUUUAGUGGAAAUUCUUCAGACGAGGAGGAUUAGUUGUAUAGGUUAAAUUUAUUAUGUAUUGAUAUCCUUUUGCUUUGUACUAUAUAUUUACCUUUAUGUUUCUUGUUUAAGAUUGAUAUGUAAUAUACUGUUUAAGUUUGUUGUUUUCACUUUUCCAUGAUUUAUAUAGUAAUAAAAAUAUUCUUGUCUAUAUCUCGUGUUGUUGGACCGAUUUGAAGUGUGAAUGAGUAACUUAACAUUAGUUACUUGGAAUGUUUUCUUAUAUAUUCAUUUUGUAGGAACUAACAACUUGUUAAAUUCACAUAAUUUAGAGGUCAGGCAAAGGUGACAAAGGUAACGGAAAAUUAGUUGAUACUACGAAACCAAAGAAGAAAAGAGAACCUCCGCCUUAUAGACGGCCGACAGGUAUUCAUAUAUCUGAGGGUCGGUUUGCUGAUGUGCCAGCACGAGCCUUAUAUUCUAGGUCUUCCGAGGAUUCGAUACCUACUCCUACGUAUGUGGAGCCACUACAUGGAUCUACACUGACCCAUUCUGCUCCUAUGAUCGUGCCACCGCCAGCACAGUACUAUCGAACGGCCGCUGGCCUCUCCAGAUAUCUACCAUCAUCGAUACCCUCCUGUAGCAAUCACACAGCUUCGCACAGUGAUUCUGCUGGAUCUAUUGGGUUGUCGGAUCUUCAACUUGGAGGCACUCCAUAUGGUGCUUCUGAUCCGCCCACGCCAAUGCAUCCACCAUCACUUACUAGGCAGCUAGGAGACAGAGAUAAUUCUAGGAGGAUUUAUAUGGUUCCAGUUACAAGAGGGUUUAAGCCGGAUGUUGGAGUUGAAAAAAUGGUGUGAAUAUGCAUUAGUCGGCACUUCAACAGCUAUUGGACCAGCUGGCAAAAGGUUCCAGAACUUGACAGGGAUAGAAUGUUUGAAGAAUUUAAGAAAUUUUACUGGUGGGAUGCUGCAAAUGAAUUUCUUAUAAAGAGGAACUUCAAAAGAUGUAGAGGCAGAUUUAGUGAUCUAUUGGAUUAUGCUCGAAAGAAAUCGGUAAAACCUAAGUGGUUUCCUGAACCCUUGUGACCACUAUAUUAGCGCCACUGAAAUAGCCCAGAAUACCAAUUGUUGAGGGAAAAAAGAAAGAGAGCCCGGGUAUCAUCCAAGGGUGGCUCCCUACAUACUACGGGUGCUAGAAGUACUUUUGCUGUGAAGGAAAAACUGGAAAAAGAAAUGGGUAGGGAACUACCAACUUAUGAGGUUUUUGAGGGGACUCAUCUGAGAAAGAAAUUGAACCCGACUGAUGAAGAUGUCUGAGUUGAACCUCGUGCAAAAUUUAUCCACGACAAAUUUAGGCAUCUUCUUGGUGAGUAUCGUAGUAGUCUGCCUCCUGAAAGUCAGGGUGACCCAAUACCCCAGCAUGUACGGAAUGAGUUAUGGACAAAAGCUUCGGAUCCUGCAAAUAGAGGUCAUUUCUAUGGAUGCCACACAAAAUAUUUUGGCGAUAAUAUUAGGAGUUCAUCUGGAUCUGCAUACUCUAGCUCUUCGGUUGAUGCAGAAACCAUUGUAAGACUACAAAAUAUAGUUUCUCAACUCACCGAAGAUCUUGCUGAACAGAGACAGAGGUAUGUUGAACAGAGUGUGAGGCAGAAGAAGAUGGAGGAGGCAACGACAUCACAAAUCAAGAUGCUGCAGCAGCAGUUCAGUUCUUUCAUUCAGACUGGAGGGAUUAUUCCUCCGUGUCCUGGUGAUGCAGUUCGGGCUGCAAAAGGUUUAGGCCCCCUGGAUUAUUUCAGCACGGAUGAUGAUAUGGAAGACGAGGACGAAUUCGAUGAUGAUGACUAUUAGUUUUGUGAUUUUUGUAUGUCUUGUACUUUAAAUUUAGACAUUUUGUUGUUUGAAACUAUUGUUGUAGUAUUGUCAUACUCACUUUCGUUGGAUAUUUUGUAUGUGCCGUACACUUUUAAAAAUUU